CGUCCUAUAAAAGAACGAACAUGUCCUCUUCUAUACAGGUGAAAUCUACCCUACCCUAACGAGGUUCCCGCUUCAAGAGCUCUGCAUAUAAAAGUGUCAGAACUGUUGGAUUACACAGCAGACGAACUGACGGGUAAAAGUGUGUACGCACUUUGUCAUGGACAGAAUGCACAAAGAUGAAGGAAAUGUCACAUUGAAAGUGGUGAAUAAAAGGUUUUUCUUGACUCGAA